rnacentral:rRNA from 1 species
GCCCAGAAGCGGGGGAUAACACCUGGAAACAGAUGCUAAUACCGCAUAACAACUUGGACCGCAUGGUCCGAGCUUGAAAGAUGGCUUCGGCUAUCACUUUUGGAUGGUCCCGCGGCGUAUUAGCUAGAUGGUGGGGUAACGGCUCACCAUGGCAAUGAUACGUAGCCGACCUGAGAGGGUAAUCGGCCACAUUGGGACUGAGACACGGCCCAAACUCAUACGGGAGGCAGCAGUAGGGAAUCUUCCACAAUGGACGAAAGUCUGAUGGAGCAACGCCGCGUGAGUGAAGAAGGGUUUCGGCUCGUAAAACUCUGUUGUUAAAGAAGAACAUAUCUGAGAGUAACUGUUCAGGUAUUGACGGUAUUUAACCAGAAAGCCACGGCUAACUACGUGCCAGCAGCCGCGGUAAUACGUAGGUGGCAAGCGUUGUCCGGA